UGUGAUUGAACUCUCGAUAUAUACAUUGAUGUACUGCGUAUGUACCGGCACGAUCUUGGGAUGGUACAGAAACACGAGAGACUUGGUCGUUUCAGGUCGGGUCGCUACAGGGAAAGGUCCCAAAGAGGACAAAAGAAAAGAUCCCAAAGAGGACAGAUGAGAGAUAAAUAGAAAGAGCCAAAGAGGCCACAAAAAAAAGAUAGAAAAA
rnacentral:lncRNA from 1 species